UUCUUUUAUCUCAGGAGAACUAGAGAGAUAGCAGCUUGAGGAGGUCUCAGUCCAAUGUUUCUGGCCUUGAAGCUGGAGGAAUACAGCCAUAAGCCAAGGAGUGUGGGCCGCCUGUAGAAGCUAGCAAAGGACUCUUGGCUGUAACAAUUUCUCAGACUACUUGGGAAAUGAUCUGGACAGUUUUGAGGAAUACAGAUCAACUACACUGCAGGAAUACCAGACCACCUGACCUGCUUCUUGAGAAAUCUGUAUGCAGGUCAAGAAGCAACAGUUAGAACUGGACAUGGAACAACAGACUGGUUCCAAA